GACGAACGCUGGCGGCGUGCUUAACACAUGCAAGUCGAACGCUGAAGCCCAGCUUGCUGGGUGGAUGAGUGGCGAACGGGUGAGUAACACGUGAGUAACCUGCCCUCUUCUUUGGGAUAACGCCCGGAAACGGGUGCUAAUACUGGAUAUUCACUGGCCUUCGCAUGGGGGUUGGUGGAAAGGUUUUUUCUGGUGGGGGAUGGGCUCGCGGCCUAUCAGCUUGUUGGUGGGGUGAUGGCCUACCAAGGCUUUGACGGGUAGCCGGCCUGAGAGGGUGACCGGUCACAUUGGGACUGAGAUACGGCCCAGACUCCUACGGGAGGCAGCAGUGGGGAAUAUUGCACAAUGGGCGAAAGCCUGAUGCAGCGACGCCGCGUGAGGGACGGAGGCCUUCGGGUUGUGAACCUCUUUCGCUCAUGGUCAAGCCGCAACUUAGGGUUGUGGUGAGGGUAGUGGGUAAAGAAGCGCCGGCUAACUACGUGCCAGCAGCCGCGGUAAUACGUAGGGCGCGAGCGUUGUCCGGAAUUAUUGGGCGUAAAGGGCUUGUAGGCGGUUGGUCGCGUCUGCCGUGAAAUCCUCUGGCUUAACUGGGGGGCGUGCGGUGGGUACGGGCUGACUUGAGUGCGGUAGGGGAGACUGGAACUCCUGGUGUAGCGGGUGGAAUGCGCAGAUAUCAGGAAGAACACCGGUGGCGAAGGCGGGUCUCUGGGCCGUUUACUGACGCUGAGGAGCGAAAGCGUGGGGGAGCGAACAGG
rnacentral:rRNA from 1 species